rnacentral:rRNA from 1 species
CCUACGGGUGGCAGCAGUGAGGAAUAUUGGUCAAUGGGCGAGAGCCUGAACCAGCGAAGUCGCGUGAAGGAUGAAGGAUCUAUGGUUUGUAAACUUCUUUUAUGUGGGAAUAAAGUGAGGAACGUGUUCCUUUUUGUAUGUACCAUAUGAAUUAGCAUCGGCUAACUCCGGGCCAGCAGCCGCGGUAAAACGGAGGAUGCGAGCGUUGUCCGGAUUUAUUGGGUUUAAAGGGUGCGUAGGUGGUUUAUUAAGUCAGGGGUGAAAGUUUGUGGCUCAACCAUAAAAUUGCCGUUGAAACUGGUUGACUAGAGUAUAUUUGAGGUAAGCGGAAUGCGUGGUGUAGCGGUGAAAUGCAUAGAUAUCACGAAGAACACCGAUGGCGAAGGCAGCUUACUAAACUAUAACUGACACUGAAGCACGAAAGCGAGGGGAUCAAACAGGAUUAGAUACCCGGGUAGUC